CGCCUCUCCGGGCUUCCUGCACAGAUUCUUCCGCCUUUCUACACAAAAUCCUCCCGCUGUCUGACAACGGCUCACACUGGACUCUGCAGUGAGCUGCAGGCUUUCCACCUUCCCUCGCAUCCUCUGGCUCUUCAGCAUGCAGACAGCCUCCUGUUCUCCUCCACCCCUGUUUCCGCAGGCCGCCAUUGUUCUAGAUGAAGCAUGGGAUUGCAGUGGUGCUAGAGCUUCACAAGAAAUGGGGCGAAAACGGCUUCACCAAAGUUCCCAAAUCUUCAGAAGAGGUCUUUCCUGGCUGGUAAUAGAUGCUCCUGUAGAUUUUCAGUCACGGCAAGACGGCAGGGCGCUGCGUUUCAUCGUCACGAAACAGGCUUUUCAUGGUAAAGAUGUUCCCAUCACCUGUCAUCGCAAAGAAGAACUGCCAGCUAUUUAUUUCUGUGUUCCUAAUUGUUGUCAGAAUGUGACCUAAAACUUGGACAGGGAAUUUUUCAAAGUCAGGCUUGCACAAGGCACGUGCAUUUAUCACAUGUAUGUAUCCCACGCUCACCUAGGCAGCGGCACUCGUGAAGGUCUGUUUUUAUUUAAUUCUCAAGAUUUUGUUGUUAAUGGGAAAACUGUCUCAUAAAUUAGGGAAGUGCUCAAUUACAAGCCUGACAGAGAUUGAUUUUGGUUCUGCUGUCGGUCACUACCGGCAUGUGAAGGCCACGGAAACCACAACUCCAGCUGAUGGAGGAGUCGCGUCAGAGGGGGUCGGGAGCAAGCGUUCGUUAGGGAGCCGGAGAAUGGGUGGCAACCCCUCUGCGUGUUCUUCGUGCUGACAGCAGUGAUCUGCAUGCUUCCUGCCCGCCUUGCUGCAUCCAUCCAUGGGGCAGAAAAGCAUAUUUAAAUGACCUGCAUAAAGAUGUUUUUAAAGAAAGCAAACAGCAAAUUAAGGCUUUAGCCACCAAGUACAAAAUAAGAAAAUAGAUUUUGAAAGACUUGAAUUUCUCAGUAUCACAUUGGAAUUCACAAGGAAUGUUCUACAACUAAAGGACAAUAGGCACAGAAGUGUGAAUUUAAAAUAAACCUAACUUGAGCAUCU
rnacentral:lncRNA from 1 species